rnacentral:rRNA from 1 species
GAUGAACGCUGGCGGCGUGCCUAAUACAUGCAAGUCGAGCGAACAGACGAGGAGCUUGCUCCUCUGACGUUAGCGGCGGACGGGUGAGUAACACGUGGAUAACCUACCUAUAAGACUGGGAUAACUUCGGGAAACCGGAGCUAAUACCGGAUAACAUGUUGAACCGCAUGGUUCAACAGUGAAAGACGGUCUUGCUGUCACUUAUAGAUGGAUCCGCGCCGCAUUAGCUAGUUGGUAAGGUAACGGCUUACCAAGGCAACGAUGCGUAGCCGACCUGAGAGGGUGAUCGGCCACACUGGAACUGAGACACGGUCCAGACUCCUACGGGAGGCAGCAGUAGGGAAUCUUCCGCAAUGGGCGAAAGCCUGACGGAGCAACCCCGCGUGAGUGAAGAAGGUCUUCGGAUCGUAAAACUCUGUUAUUAGGGAAGAACAAAUGUGUAAGUAACUAUGCACGUCUUGACGGUACCUAAUCAGAAAGCCACGGCUAACUACGUG